rnacentral:rRNA from 1 species
GACGAACGCUGGCGGCGUGCUUAACACAUGCAAGUCGAACGGUAAGGCUCCAUCUUGCUGGGGUACACGAGUUGCGAACGUGUGAGUAACACGUGGGUGACCUGCCCUUCACUUCGGGAUAUGCCUGUGCAACUGGUUCUAAUACCGGCUAGGACCUUUGUUUUGUUACUGUGGUGGAAAUUUUUUUCGUUGUGGGAUGGGCCCGCGGCCUCUCAGCUUGUUGGUGGGGUAUUGGCCUACCAAGGCGGCGACGGGUAGCCGGCAUGAGAGGGGGGACGGCCACAUUAGGACUGAGAGACGGCACAGACUAGUACGGGAGGCAGCAGUGGGGAAUAUUACACAAUGGGAGGAAGGAUGAUGCAGCGAAGCAGCGUGGGGGAUGACGGGCUUGGGGUUGUAAAGUAAUGUCACCAUAGACGAAGGGUUUAUGACGGUAGAGGGAGAAGAAGCACCGGCUAACUACGUG